rnacentral:rRNA from 1 species
GAGUUUGAUCCUGGCUCAGGACGAACGCUGGCGGCGUGCUUAACACAUGCAAGUCGAACGGAAAGGCCCCGCUUGCGGGGUACUCGAGUGGCGAACGGGUGAGUAACACGUGGGUGAUCUGCCCUGCACUUCGGGAUAAGCCUGGGAAACUGGGUCUAAUACCGGAUAGGACCCCUCUUUAGUGUGGGGGGUGGAAAGUUUUUUCGGUGUGGGAUGAGCCCGCGGCCUAUCAGCUUGUUGGUGGGGUAAUGGCCUACCAAGGCGUCGACGGGUAGCCGGCCUGAGAGGGUGGACGGCCACAUUGGGACUGAGAUACGGCCCAGACUCCUACGGGAGGCAGCAGUGGGGAAUAUUGCACAAUGGGCGGAAGCCUGAUGCAGCGACGCCGCGUGGGGGAUGACGGCCUUCGGGUUGUAAACCUCUUUCGCUAGGGACGAAGCUUUUGUGACGGUACCUAGAUAAGAAGCACCGGCUAACUACGUGCCAGCAGCCGCGGUAAUACGUAGGGUGCGAGCGUUGUCCGGAAUUACUGGGCGUAAAGAGCUCGUAGGUGGUUUGUCGCGUCGUCUGUGAAAUUCCGGGGCUUAACUUCGGGCGUGCAGGCGAUACGGGCAAUACUUGAAUGCUGUAGGGGAGACUGGAAUUCCUGGUGUAGCGGUGGAAUGCGCAGAUAUCAGGAGGAACACCGAUGGCGAAGGCAGGUCUCUGGGCAGUAACUGACGCUGAGGAGCGAAAGCAUGGGUAGCGAACAGGAUUAGAUACCCUGGUAGUCCAUGCCGUAAACGGUGGGCGCUAGGUGUAGGGGUCUUCCACGACUUCUGUGCCGUAGCUAACGCAUUAAGCGCCCCGCCUGGGGAGUACGGCCGCAAGGCUAAAACUCAAAGGAAUUGACGGGGGCCCGCACAAGCGGCGGAGCAUGUGGAUUAAUUCGAUGCAACGCGAAGAACCUUACCUGGGCUUGACAUACACCGGACCGGGCCAGAGAUGGUCUUUCCCUUGUGGCUGGUGUACAGGUGGUGCAUGGUUGUCGUCAGCUCGUGUCGUGAGAUGUUGGGUUAAGUCCCGCAACGAGCGCAACCCUUGUCUUAUGUUGCCAGCACGUAGUGGUGGGGACUCAUGAGAGACUGCCGGGGUCAACUCGGAGGAAGGUGGGGAUGACGUCAAAUCAUCAUGCCCCUUAUGUCCAGGGCUUCACACAUGCUACAAUGGGCGGUACAACGCGUUGCGACACUGUGAGGUGGAGCUAAUCGCUGAAAGCCGGCCUCAGUUCGGAUUGGGGUCUGCAACUCGACCCCAUGAAGUCGGAGUCGCUAGUAAUCGCAGAUCAGCAACGCUGCGGUGAAUACGUUCCCGGGCCUGUACACAC